rnacentral:rRNA from 1 species
CUGGCUCAGGAUGAACGCUGGCGGCGUGCCUAACACAUGCAAGUCGAACGAAGCAAUUAAGAUGAAGUUUUCGGAUGGAAUCUUGAUUGACUGAGUGGCGGACGGGUGAGUAACGCGUGGAUAACCUGCCUCACACUGGGGGAUAACAGUUAGAAAUGACUGCUAAUACCGCAUA